rnacentral:rRNA from 1 species
UACGAAGGGGGCUAGCGUUGCUCGGAAUCACUGGGCGUAAAGCGCACGUAGGCGGAUUCUUAAGUCAGGGGUGAAAUCCUGGAGCUCAACUCCAGAACUGCCUUUGAUACUGGGAAUCUCGAGUCCGGGAGAGGUGAGUGGAACUGCGAGUGCAGAGGUGAAAUUCGUAGAUAUUCGCAAGAACACCAGUGGCGAAGGCGGCUCACUGGCCCGGUACUGACGCUGAGGUGCGAAAGCGUGGGGAGCAAACAGG